UACGGAGGGUGCAAGCGUUGUUCGGAAACACUGGGCGUAAAGCGCGUGUAGGCGGCUUUGCAAGUCGGGUGUGAAAUCCCGAGGCUCAACCUCGGAACUGCACUCGAUACUGCUUGGCUCGAGUCCCGGAGAGGGUGGCGGAAUUCCCGGUGUAGGGGUGAAAUCCGUAGAUAUCGGGAGGAACAUCAGUGGCGAAGGCGGCCACCUGGACGGUGACUGACGCUGAGACGCGAAAGCGUGGGGAGCAAACAGG
rnacentral:rRNA from 1 species